AAAAUCCUUCCAAACACAAGCAUGGCCGACUUGUCACAAGUAGUGUUGACAGAAGUCGACAAACAAGGUGAAAUAGACACACUAAAGUUAUCACAAUCGAUUAAGGAGGAUCAUCAAAAGAUUGUUGGGGCGGUUAAGAGUCUACAGUCACUUGGCGAUAUUAUCAAAGUAGAGCAGUACACAAAUAAAUACUGGGAGUUAACAGAUGAAGGCAAAGAUGUUUUAGUAAAGCAAUGCAGGCUGGCUGGGUAGCGAUGGAUAAAAGUUGUGAGGGUGGACCCAAAGUAUUCAAAAAGAUUGACUCUAUUAAAGAUGCAGUCCAAGAAUGCAUGUUGAAGUUUGCAGCAAAAGAUUCAGGAAGCAUACCAGAUAACCAAAAAGCUGACUUCAAGAAGAGGAAACUCAUCACAGAAGUGAAAGAAGUUGGAUAUAAAGUCUCCAAGGGAGAUAACUUCACUUUGUCCAUUAGUAAGGCUGAAGUUGACCUGACUCCUGAAAUGAUACAGAGUGGAUCCUGGAAAACUAAAACCUUCAAAGAGUACAACUUUGACGCCCUUGGGGUGCCCCCUGCAGCAGGUCACCUUCACCCCCUGCUCAAGGUCAGGGCCCAGUACAGACAGAUCUUCCUUGAAAUGGGGUUCACGGAGAUGCCCACACAGAACUUUGUGGAGAGCUGCUUCUGGAACUUUGACUCCUUGUUCCAACCCCAACAACACCCGGCCAGGGACGCACAUGACACCUUCUUCAUCUCAGAACCAAGAGUUGCCAAGGACUUUCCAAUGGAUUAUUUAUAUAGAGUAAAACAAAUCCACUCGGAAGGAGGACAUGGUUCACAAGGGUAUAAAGUGGACUGGAAGAUAGAGGAAGCUGAGAAGAAUAUUUUAAGAACUCAUACAACAGCAAACUCAGCCAGAAUGUUAUACCGAUUGGCCCAACAGAAAGAGUUCAAACCAGUGAAAUACUUUUCAAUAGACAGAGUGUUCAGAAAUGAGAAUGUUGAUGACACACAUUUAGCAGAGUUCCACCAGAUCGAGGGUUCCGUGGCAGACUAUGGACUCACACUCGGAGAUCUCAUGGGAAUCAUACAGGAAUUCUUCAAAAAGUUGGGCAUCACUAAACUGCGCUUCAAACCUGCCUACAACCCCUAUACAGAACCCAGCAUGGAAAUCUUCAGCUACCACGAAGGACUUAAAAAGUGGGUAGAAAUUGGAAAUUCUGGUAUUUUCCGACCUGAAAUGUUACUUCCCAUGGGACUUCCAGAAAAUGUGUCUGUGAUAGCCUGGGGUUUAUCACUUGAAAGGCCCACCAUGAUCAAGUACAAAAUUGACGACAUCCGAACACUCAUUGGACCUAAAGUGAACUUACAAAUGGUGUACGAUAACCCGAUUUGUAUUCUUGACAAUUAAACAACGUACCUCAUACAACAUUGAUCGUCAUAUAAUUUAUGUAAUAAAAAAACUUCAAAUACCAUUUUC
rnacentral:misc_RNA from 1 species